CCUACGGGUGGCAGCAGUGAGGAAUAUUGGUCAAUGGACGAGAGUCUGAACCAGCCAAGUAGCGUGAAGGAUGACUGCCCUAUGGGUUGUAAACUUCUUUUAUAAAGGAAUAAAACGAGGCACGUGUGCCUUUUUGCAUGUACUUUAUGAAUAAGGAUCGGCUAACUCCGUGCCAGCAGCCGCGGUAAUACGGAGGAUCCAAGCGUUAUCCGGAUUUAUUUGGUUUACAGGGUGCGUAGGCGGACUGUUAAGUCAGCGGUAAAAGCCCGGGGCUCAACCCCGGCGAGCCGUUGAAACUGGCUGUCUUGAGAGGUCGAGAGGUAGGCGGAAUGCGUGGUGUAGCGGUGAAAUGCUUAGAGAUCGCGCAGAACUCCGAUUGCGAAGGCAGCAUACCGGCGGCGAUCUGACGCUGAGGCACGAAAGCGUGGGUAUCGAACAGGAGUAGAUACCCUGGUAGUC
rnacentral:rRNA from 1 species